AGAAACAUCCAUGAAAAGUGAUGGCAUCAUGCAAGCAAUAAAUGCAGGGAGGAAAAAGAACAGACAAUACCCAUCAAAGUCCAUUUGGAUAUCCAAAUUUGCCCGUAUAUGUAUACAAAUUUUAGCGUCCAACUGAUUUCCAUAGCCGUUUGUAUAUUUCUAAGCAAUUUGUACAUCCAUGUUCUAAUAUUCAAAUUUGUUUCCAGCCCUAUUUAUAAUUCUCAUGCGGUUAUAUAUGUCUGCUUGCAUGUACGAUAAACUGAUUCAACUCCUUACGUGACAAUGCUGGCAAAACUACGGGGUUAAGCGAAAAACGAGUAAAGGGUUUGGAAUUUGCAAAGGAUUAGAUAGAAUGACACAAUGGCGUAGACUUGAGAAUUUUCAAAUAGCAGCAUUUCAUCACAGAACCUGCUGAAUUUGCGUCAUAACAUGCUAAUUACAUGAUCAUUAGACCAAUAAUCAUUUCAGACGUCUCACAGUAUUUGCUUUCUUUUAAGACACUGACCAUACAAAUUAGUCGCAACAAAAAAUUUAUCAACAGCAUCACAAAGAGGAGAGAGAGAGGGAGAGAGAGAGAGAGGAGGAGGAGGAUAUGCUAGAAUUGCUAUGGUACAAA
rnacentral:lncRNA from 1 species